GGCCAGGAUGUCUCUCUGCAAGCUAUCUUUUAGCUAAGUGUUUAGUUAAUAAAGUGGAACGUUUUGCAACAUUGCGUGAUCCUUGACACACACAAAGGAACAAGUUUCAACAGACAGAAACGAAAAAAGGUCCGUUUUUUCAUUUUCUAAGACCGGAAGUGGUCAUCAGCAAGUGUGGAGCCAGAGUACGGUGCAUAGACUGUAUAUAAUUUUUUUCGUGAGUUUUCAUCGUCAAAAUGAGAGAUCAGGUGGCCGAUCUUAAAAUAAAUCAAUAUUGAAUUUUUUAUAGCGCGUUAAAGUUUUGCGAAGCCAGGGGGCGGGACUACUUGAUUGACAGUCUGGUCUGGAAUGAUUGACAGGUGCUAUGGAGGCGGCAGCAGAGACUCUGCUCUCCUCGUUUGGAUUAAUUCUGAUAUAAUAACUGUUGGUUUAUUUAUCGGUGGAGCAGCACAACAUUUUCCACAGACAGUUUUCCUGCCCGUUGGCUUGCUUUAACCAGUUUUCUGCCUUCGGCUCAUUCUACCAGCAGACACUGAAAGGACUCUGAUAGUUUGAGUGAAAGUAGCAGUUCCUCCUUAAGGUCAGAGAUUGCAGUAUCUGAGGGCCUCUUCAAAAGAAGACAUAGUUGAUGAAGGCGUUCUGGAGCAGGACCAGAAAGACCACGACCAAGCAGCCUUGAGAUCUUAGGCAGCGUCUCCCUCAGGUCCCUCUCUAUCUCCCCACACAUCCACCAACCACUGGAACACAUCUCCAAAGUUCUGCCGGGCCAGCUCAGCUUCCCCUCAGAAGAAGUUCCACCAGAUGAAGGAGCCUUUUGAGAGGCAGCUGGCAUCGUGAUUGGACUGUACUUUGGUCUGUUCCAAUCCAGCUUCAGCUCCAGAGACGGCAGGCGGGACGAGUCAACGGAGGCCGGGUGGACGAAGGCAUGCAGCUGAGUACAAUCCAGAAAACAACUGAGGAGGAGUGCAAACAGAGUAGCAUGGUAUGUCUCUUAGAAAACAUCUUAGUAUAGCCCUUGGUAUGAAAAAAACGCCAUCAUAUACAUCGUAUAUUGUACAAAUAAUGUCAAAGGAAAAAGACAUACAUUGUAGAAUUGUAGUAAUUGUGGGCUGACUGAUUUACUGAUUAUCAGUAUUUUAUUUUUUACUGAUUUACGGUAAUAAAUACAUUUAAAAAUGGCGCUACUUUGGCUCUGAACCUUUAUCUACCUGUGGUCG